rnacentral:rRNA from 1 species
GACGAACGCUGGCGGCGUGCCUAACACAUGCAAGUCGAACGAAGAUAUCAAUGAAGCUUGCGAUUUGAUAUUUUAGUGGCGGACGGGUGAGUAACGCGUGGGUAAUCUGCCCAUAAGUGGGGAAUAACAGUUGGAAACGACUGCUAAUACCGCAUACCCUAAGAAAUUAGGAAAGGUGGCCUCUGAAAAUGCUGCCGCUUAUGGAUGAGCCCGCGUCUGAUUAGCUAGUUGGUGGGGUAAAGGCCUACCAAGGCGACGAUCAGUAGCCGGCCUGGGAGGGUGAACGGCCACACUGGGACUGAGACACGGCCCAGACUCCUACGGGAGGCAGCAGUGGGGAAUAUUGCGCAAUGGGGGAAACCCUGACGCAGCGACGCCGCGUGAGCGAUGAAGGCCUUAGGGUUGUAAAGCUCUGUUUUAAGGGACGAAUGUCGUGGGGAGUAAUAUGCCCUGCGAAUGACGGUACCUUAAGAGGAAGCCCCGGCUAACUACGUGCCAGCCGCCGCAGUAACAC